rnacentral:rRNA from 1 species
CCUACGGGUGGCAGCAGUGAGGAAUAUUGGUCAAUGGGCGGGAGCCUGAACCAGCCAAGUCGCGUGAGGGAAGAAGGUACUGAGUAUUGUAAACCUCUUUUGCCAGGGGACAAGGGCGGCCACGGGUGGCCGUAAGUGGGUACCUUGAGAAAAAGCAUCGGCUAACUCCGUGCCAGCAGCCGCGGUAAUACGGAGGAUGCGAGCGUUAUCCGGAUUCACUGGGUGUAAAGGGAGCGUAGACGGCCAUGCAAGCCAGGGGUGAAAGCCCGGGGCCCAACCCCGGGACUGCCCUUGGAACUGCAUGGCUGGAGUGCGGGAGGGGCAGGCGGAAUUCCUGGUGUAGCGGUGAAAUGCGUAGAUAUCAGGAGGAACACCGGCGGCGAAGGCGGCCUGCUGGACUGCGACUGACGUUGAGGCUCGAAAGCGUGGGGAGCGAACAGGAUUAGAUACCCGGGUAGUC